UCAUCUCCGGGGGUAGAGCACUGUUUCGGCUAGGGGGCCAUCCCGGCUUACCAACCCGAUGCAAACUGCGAAUACCGGAGAAUGUUAUCACGGGAGACACACGGCGGGUGCUAACGUCCGUCGUGAAGAGGGAAACAACCCAGACCGCCAGCUAAGGUCCCAAAGUCAUGGUUAAGUGGGAAACGAUGUGGGAAGGCCCAGACAGCCAGGAUGUUGGCUUAGAAGCAGCCAUCAUUUAAAGAAAGCGUAAUAGCUCACUGGUCGAGUCGGCCUGCGCGGAAGAUGUAACGGGGCUAAACCAUGCACCGAAGCUGCGGCAGCGACGCUGAUGCGUUGUUGGGUAGGGGAGCGUUCUGUAAGCCUGCGAAGGUGGCCUGUGAGGGUUGCUGGAGGUAUCAGAAGUGCGAAUGCUGACAUAAGUAACGAUAAAGCGGGUGAAAAGCCCGCUCGCCGGAAGACCAAGGGUUCCUGUCCAACGUUAAUCGGGGCAGGGUGAGUCGACCCCUAAGGCGAGGCCGAAAGGCGUAGUCGAUGGGAAACGGGUUAAUAUUCCCGUACUUGGUGUUACUGCGAAGGGGGGACGGAGAAGGCUAUGUUGGCCGGGCGACGGUUGUCCCGGUUUAAGCGUGUAGGCUGGUUUUCCAGGCAAAUCCGGAAAAUCAAGGCUGAGGCGUAACGACGAGGCACUACGGUGCUGAAGCAACAAAUGCCCUGCUUCCAGGAAAAGCCUCUAAGCAUCAGGUAACAUCAAAUCGUACCCCAAACCGACACAGGUGGUCAGGUAGAGAAUACCAAGGCGCUUGA
rnacentral:rRNA from 1 species